rnacentral:pre_miRNA from 1 species
AGGAGGAACCACCUCAGUGGCGGGGCCAGCUCUCCAGCCCUGGAGUCAGCUCCCACAGUAACUGCGGAGCUCUCAGCCUGCAAGGGCCUGGAUGCUCCCGCGGGGG